GCAUGGCUGUCGUCAGCUCGUGUCGUGAGAUGUUCGGUUAAGUCCGCUAACGAGCGCAACCCUCGUCGUAUGUUAUAUGUGUCAUACGAGACUGCCGGUAAAAAGCCGGAGGAAGGUGAGGAUGAUGUCAAGUCAGCAUGACCUUUAUAUCCAGGGCUACACACACGCUACAAUGGUCUGUACAAUGGGUAGCCAAGCCGCGAGGCGGAGCCAAUCCUGAAAGCAGGCCUCAGUUCAGAUUGCAGUCUGCAACUCGACUGCAUGAAGCCGGAGUUGCUAGUAACCGCAGGUCAGCAAUACUGCGGUGAAUACGUUCCCGGGUCUU
rnacentral:rRNA from 1 species